rnacentral:rRNA from 1 species
GCCCCGGUAAACGGCGGCCGUAACUAUAACGGUCCUAAGGUAGCGAAAUUCCUUGUCGGGUAAGUUCCGACCUGCACGAAUGGCGUAAUGAUGGCCAGGCUGUCUCCACCCGAGACUCAGUGAAAUUGAACUCGCUGUGAAGAUGCAGUGUACCCGCGGCAAGACGGAAAGACCCCGUGAACCUUUACUAUAGCUUGACACUGAACAUUGAGCCUUGAUGUGUAGGAUAGGUGGGAGGCUUUGAAGUGUGGACGCCAGUCUGCAUGGAGCCGACCUUGAAAUACCACCCUUUAAUGUUUGAUGUUCUAACGUUGGCCCGUAAUCCGGGUUGCGGACAGUGUCUGGUGGGUAGUUUGACUGGGGCGGUCUCCUCCUAAAGAGUAACGGAGGAGCACGAAGGUUGGCUAAUCCUGGUCGGACAUCAGGAGGUUAGUGCAAUGGCAUAAGCCAGCUUGACUGCGAGCGUGACGGCGCGAGCAGGUGCGAAAGCAGGUCAUAGUGAUCCGGUGGUUCUGAAUGGAAGGGCCAUCGCUCAACGGAUAAAAGGUACUCCGGGGAUAACAGGCUGAUACCGCCCAAGAGUUCAUAUCGACGGCGGUGUUUGGCACCUCGAUGUCGGCUCAUCACAUCCUGGGGCUGAAGUAGGUCCCAAGGGUAUGGCUGUUCGCCAUUUAAAGUGGUACGCGAGCUGGGUUUAGAACGUCGUGAGACAGUUCGGUCCCUAUCUGCCGUGGGCGCUGGAGAACUGAGGGGGGCUGCUCCUAGUACGAGAGGACCGGAGUGGACGCAUCACUGGUGUUCGGGUUGUCAUGCCAAUGGCACUGCCCGGUAGCUAAAUGCGGAAGAGAUAAGUGCUGAAAGCAUCUAAGCACGAAACUUGCCCCGAGAUGAGUUCUCCCUGACUCCUUGAGGGUCCUGAAGGAACGUUGAAGACGACGACGUUGAUAGGCCGGGUGUGUAAGCGCAGCGAU